rnacentral:rRNA from 1 species
ACUCCUACGGGAGGCAGCAGUGGGGAAUAUUGGACAAUGGGGGCAACCCUGAUCCAGCAAUGCCGCGUGUGUGAAGAAGGCCUUCGGGUUGUAAAGCACUUUUGUCAGGAGCGAAAUAGUGCGCGGCUAAUACCUGUCGCGGAUGACGUACC